rnacentral:rRNA from 1 species
GAUGAACGCUAGCGAUAGGCCUAACACAUGCAAGUCGAGGGGCAUCACAUGAAGUAGCAAUACGGAUGGUGGCGACCGGCGCACGGGUGAGUAACACGUAUGCAACCUGCCUUCAACAAGGGGAUAACCCGUUGAAAGACGGACUAAUACCCUAUAACACAGGGGUCCCGCAUGGGAAUAUUUGUUAAAGGACAACCGGUUGAAGAUGGGCAUGCGUUCCAUUAGCUAGUUGGCGGGGUAACGGCCCACCAAGGCAACGAUGGAUAGGGGAACUGAGAGGUUUAUCCCCCACACUGGUACUGAGACACGGACCAGACUCCUACGGGAGGCAGCAGUGAGGAAUAUUGGUCAAUGGACGCAAGUCUGAACCAGCCACGUCGCGUGAAGGAAGACGGCCCUACGGGUUGUAAACUUCUUUUGCAAGGGAAUAAAGUGGGCCACGUGUGGCCUUUUGCAAGUACCUUGCGAAUAAGGAUCGGCUAACUCCGUGCCAGCAGCCGCGGUAAGUACGCAGC